GAUGAACGCUGGCGGCGUGCUUAACACAUGCAAGUCGAGCGAAGCGCUUAAGUUUGAUUCUUCGGAUGAAGACUUUUGUGACUGAGCGGCGGACGGGUGAGUAACGCGUGGGUAACCUGCCUCAUACAGGGGGAUAACAGUUAGAAAUGACUGCUAAUACCGCAUAAGACCACAGGGUCGCAUGACCCGGUGGUAAAAAACUCCGGUGGUAUGAGAUGGACCCGCGUCUGAUUAGCUAGUUGGUGGGGUAACGGCUCACCAAGGCGACGAUCAGUAGCCGACCUGAGAGGGUGACCGGCCACAUUGGGACUGAGACCACGGCCCAA
rnacentral:rRNA from 1 species